rnacentral:rRNA from 1 species
CCCUUAGAUGUUCUGGGCCGCACGCGCGCUACGCUGAUGCAUUCAACGAGUCUAAAACCUGCUCUGAUAGGGGUGGGUAAUCUUUUGAAUGUGCAUCGUGAUUGGGAUAGAUGAUUGCAAUUUUUCAUCUUCAACGAGGAAUGCCUAGUAAACGCAAGUCAUCAGCUUGCAUUGAUUACGUCCCUGCCCUUUGUACACACCGCCCGUCGCUCCUACCGAUUGAAUGAUCCGAUGAAUAUCAUGGAUUGAGGAUGCAAGUAGGUUAGCCUAUCUUCAUCUUCGAGAAGUGAAGUAAAUCUUAUCAUUUAGAGGAAGGAGAAGUCGUAACA